rnacentral:misc_RNA from 1 species
GCGAACCGGAUGCGGAAAAACUGCACGUCCGGGUCUGUACGGGGCGCGCCCGGUAACGGGCGUUCCUACCGCGGACUUGAUCAAUGAGUCAGGUUUUAAGACCGAUUUACAU